CCUACGGGAGGCAGCAGUAGGGAAUAUUGCUCAAUGGGGGAAACCCUGAAGCAGCAACGCCGCGUGGAGGAUGAAGGUUUUCGGAUUGUAAACUCCUUUUGUUAGAGAAGAUAAUGACGGUAUCUAACGAAUAAGCACCGGCUAACUCCGUUCCAGCAGCCGCGGUAAUACGGAGGGUGCAAGCGUUACUCGGAAUCACUGGGCGUAAAGGGCGCGUAGGCGGGAUAGCAAGUCAGAUGUGAAAUCCUAUGGCUUAACCAUAGAACUGCAUUUGAAACUGUUAUUCUAGAGUAUGGGAGAGGUAGGUGGAAUUCUUGGUGUAGGGGUAAAAUCCGUAGAGAUCAAGAGGAAUACUCAUUGCGAAGGCGACCUGCUAGAACAUAACUGACGCUGAUGCGCGAAAGCGUGGGGAGCAAACAGGAUUAGAUACCCGAGUAGUC
rnacentral:rRNA from 1 species